rnacentral:rRNA from 1 species
UACAGAGGGCGCGAGCGUUGUCCGGAAUCACUGGGCGUAAAGGGCGCGUAGGUGGGCUUGUAAGUCGGAUGUGAAAUCCCCGGGCUUAACCUGGGAACUGCAUCCGAAACUACAAGUCUUGAAUGCUUCAGAGGUUGGUAGAAUUCCUGGUGUAGGAGUGAAAUCCGUAGAUAUCAGGAGGAAUACCGGAGGCGAAGGCGGCCAACUGGGAGUGCAUUGACACUGAGGUGCGACAGCGUGGGGAGCAAACAGG